rnacentral:lncRNA from 1 species
CCAUGGCGCCCUAGGAGAACGCGGGGACAGAACUCUUGCUGCAGAGUUUCGAGCGCCGCUUCCUGGCGGCGCGCUCACUGCGCUCCUUCCCCUGGCAGAGCUUAGAAGCAAAGUUAAGAGACUCAUCAGAUUCUGAGCUGCGGCGGGAUAUUUUGCAGAAGACUGUGAAGCAUCCUGUGUGUGUGAAGCACCCGCCGUCAGUCAAGUAUGCCCGGUGCUUUCUCUCAGAACUCAUGAAAAAGCACGAGGCUGUCCACACAGAGCCUUUGGACGAGCUGUACGAGGUGCUGGCGGAGACUUUGAUGGCCAAGGAGUCCACCCAGGGCCACUGGAGCUAUUUGCUGCCCUCGGGAGGCUCGGUCACACUCUCCAAGAGCACAGCCAUCAUCUCCCACGGCACCACAGGCCUGGUCACAUGGGACGCUGCCCUCUACCUUGCAGAAUGGGCCGAGAACCCAGCAGCCUUCACUCACAGGACUGUCCUAAAGCUUGGCAGUGGCGCCGGCCUCACAGGCCUGGCCAUCUGCAAGAUGUGCCGCCCCCGGGCGUACAUCUUCAGCGACUGUCACAGCCGGGUCCUCGAGCAGCUCCGAGGGAAUGUCCUUCUCAAUGGCCUCUCAUUAGAGGCAGACAUCACUGCCAACUUAGACGGCCCCAGGGUGACAGUGGCCCAGCUGGACUGGGACGUCGCGACGGUCUGUCAGCUCUCUGCCGUCCAGCCAGAUGUUGUCAUUGCAGCAGACGUGCUGUAUUGCCCAGAAGCCAUCGUGUCGCUAGUCGGGGUCCUGCGGAGGCUGGCUGCCUGCCGGGAGCACCAGCGGGCUCCUGAGGUCUACGUGGCCUUUACCGUCCACAACCCACAGACGUGCCAGCUGUUCACCACUGAGCUAGUUGAGUCC